UACGGAGGAUUCGAGCGUUAUCCGGAUUUAUUGGGUUUAAAGGGUGCGUAGGCGGACUGGUAAGUCAGCUGUGAAAGUUUACGGCUCAACCGUGGAAUUGCAGUGGAUACUGUUGGGCUUGAGUAUACAUGAGGUGGGCGGAAUUUGUGGUGUAGCGGUGAAAUGCUUAGAUAUCACAAAGAACUCCAGUUGCGAAGGCAGCUCACUGGGGUAUAACUGACGCUGAGGCGCGAAGGUGUGGGGAUCAAACGGG
rnacentral:rRNA from 1 species